rnacentral:rRNA from 1 species
AUUCCUGGGCAGGGAACACCACUGACUGCUGAGCAGAGCCAGAAAGGAGAGAUGACUUGUUUGAUGGUCUUUGAAUGCAGAGGCUAUGAACCUAUUGAGUUCGCUUUUGGUAAUGGCUGGAAGGCUGAAUCUGUACAUGGGACACCAUUUGACAUUGAUCUUUCUGAAGGAGAGUUUGAUGAGUAUGAUGAGAAGGGAGAGUGCCCUGUCGCUCUAUCCAAGCUGCAGUCAACAUUCAAAGUGGUGAAGAAGCAGGGUUUUCAUGGGAAGACCAGAUAUGUCUAA